GGAAGUUGGAAGUCUCCCAUGGCCAAAAGGUCCAGGAGGUAUCUCCAUGUCAGUGUCCCCCAUCAACAUGCCAUGGCAGGAGGGUUCCUCUGGCCUGUGGUAGAGCUCUCCAGCCCUCCCUGCUAAGGGUAGAAGGUCAACGCCUCGCCGGGCCCUGGCUCCUUUGGAGACACUGGAAGGGAGAUGUGGCUGGACAGUGGGGUGAAGGACAACACAGUGAAGGACUCGGUCUCAGUGUGCAGUGUUUCUCUCUUGAAGAGAUUGGCUAUAAGGAGAAGGCUGACGGCUGCAGCAUGAAGCGCAUUAUUACCUUGUGAUUCCAUGACCCUCCUCUAUGCAUCCCUAACUCUCGAAAGCUGAUUCAGCUUUCAGCUAGUGCUCUGGUGAGUCC
rnacentral:lncRNA from 1 species